GUUACAUCAAAAAAAAUCCUCAGGAAAUAUUUUACAUAGCUGGCCCUGGAGACAAAAAGGGUAAACCCCCCGAUAUAGUCAGCUAUAAUCCACAUGGCAAAUAUUUAUUUCCGAGGUGCCUUACGGUGGCGUCAGAAGAUAAGACAUAUUAAACGCAGUUCACCUCGGCUAUGCAAUGUCAAAAUCGGUCGACUUUUUAAACCUGAUAGGAGUCAUUCUGCACUAAAGAAAGUGGUGAACUUUGAGCGUCGGGACCCGGAAGCGUGUUAUUUUAUUGUCACAUGGCUUGAAGAUUUCAAUAACAACAAAAAAUGGCGACAAUCACGUUGUUCGCUGUAAGACUUGCUGCGUCAUUAAAAAUAUUCACGUAAACAAGGGAGUUCAGCGUCGAAAAUGCAGCCGCUAAAGGAAUAUUAAGCAGAUGUUUUGCCAUAAUUUGGCAGGCGUUUCCACUGUCCUGAGAUGGCAAACACGACGCGCUGAUGGAGUUGUUUACAAGAAGAGAUUCACACGGAGGGCGGGGAUGUUGUGGGCGGGGCCUUUGGGAUGGUGUGGGAGGACCCAAGCCAAGAACAGAUUAUAAAAGGUGGAGUCAGAGUUACCAUAACAAGUGUGUCGUCACAGUAUGAAUAAUUAAAACUCAAAACGAAGGUAUCGAAUCUCCUGCUGUCAGAUAGGGAUUUGACAUCUAAUGCGUUGUAUCCAAUGAAAAUAUGGCAUGGAGUCCAAUAAUGAUAUUAUAAUUUCUGCUUUGUACAAGUUGUUUAAUAAUAAAAUAUUUGCAUCUA